GACGAACGCUGGCGGCGUGCCUAAUACAUGCAAGUAGAACGCUGAAGGAGGAGCUUGCUCUUCUGGAUGAGUUGCGAACGGGUGAGUAGCGCGUAGGUAACCUGCCCGGUAGCGGGGGAUAACUAUUGGAAACGAUAGCUAAUACCGCAUAAUAGUAGAUGUUGCAUGAUAUUUACUUAAAAGGUGCAAUUGUACCACUACCAGAUGGACCUGCGUUGUAUUAGCUAGUUGGUGGGGUAACGGCUCACCAAGGCGACGAUACAUAGCCGACCUGGGAGGGGGGUCGGCCACACUGGGACUGGGACCCGGCCCAGACUCCUACGGGAAGCAGCAGGAGGGAAACUUCGGCAAUGGACGGAAGGCUGACCGAGCAACGCCGCGUGAGUGAAGAAGGUUUUCGGGUCGUAAAGCUCUGUUGUAAGGGAAGAACGAGAGUGGGAGUGGAAAGUUCACACUGUGACGGUAUCUUACCAGAAAGGGACGGCUAACUACGUG
rnacentral:rRNA from 1 species